rnacentral:lncRNA from 1 species
CUUACAGCCUCUGCCCUAAGGUAUAAAGAUAUAGAUAUCGUCAUGAUUUGCAUGAAACAGCUGAAGAUCCCACAAUUGCCUAAGGGAUGGAUCUCAUCUCAUCACAAACCUUGUGUUUGUUUUCCUCUUCCACUUCUCUUGUGAUAGCUGUGCCAUGUGGAGAGUCAGGUCAAAUCUCUGAUAGGACUGAAGAGUUGGCUUGUGUUUGCUUAGGCCAGGGGAGUUUCCAGCAUGGUCUUCAGUUGAAACUCAUUUCCAAAAUCAGGGGGAAAGGAAACAAAAUAGAUAUCCUAGAUAAAUAGAUUUAAGCAAAGCACAGAUCUAUAUGUAACCAGGAGAUCCUGGUUGCAUCUGCUGUUACAGCCUCCAGUUAUGCAUUAAGAGGAAGGUUGUGUGGCUACAUUUCCGACCACAAAAGUGCUGUUCCUUUCUGCAUUAUCAUCAAGUACUUAAUAACACCAGCUGAUAGGAUUUAAUAAACCCAGUGAAACCACAGGACUGGAAGAGAAAGUUGUAAAAUUCAGGAACUGGUUUUGAUGAACAAGCUUGUUGUUGGCCUUUCUCAAGGUGGAAAUGUCAGCACUUCUUCUUUGGACAUAGUUCUUUCUAGUACAAACCUUUGGCUGGAGAACUUCAGAGUUCCAGUGAGACCUGCUGAAACGUUGUGUGUGGAAUAGUGUGAAGAAGUAUGUUGUGUAUCACCCAGCAUCUGUUACCUCAAAAAAAGGCUGCUGAGAGAAUGAGCCUCCCAGCCUGGUCAUUCCAGUCAGAGAGAGUGAAAGCUGCUCUUGGUCACUUCAGGUGGUCAUUUGUGGACAUCACACCCACCACUUGCCAGGCUGACCCAAGGUGUUUUGCAUCCACACCUGCCUUGCUGCAGGUUGCUUUGCAGUGUUGUCAGCUUCUCCCACACAUUCCCUAUGUGGCUUCAAAUUCUUCCAGGGAAAGCAGCCUUUAAUAGCAAGAUUCAGCAGCAGCAGCCUGUUGGUAUUGUCACUGAGAAAGUCACAAGUGACCUGCAGUCUCUUGUGCUCCUUCUUGCUGCAUUAAAAGCAUUUUACUUCCAGCUAUCUGCCUCAGACCCUCAGAUAUCCUUGCAGAGGAAUGGCCUUUAUCCAAAGGAGGAUGGAAUUAAAAAGACUAGACAGAGCAGUCCUUGAGGAUGAAAGGCAAAGAGAGAUGUGUCCUUGCUACUAGGAAUAAAUUUUGCUGAUGGCAUCCUUACA